rnacentral:lncRNA from 1 species
AAUUACACGGACAAUAUAAAUUUAAUUUUCUGAAAAAUCUAAGAACAAAUAUCUAAAUUAUUGGACACUUAUUAUUAUAUAUUUUUUUAAAAAAAUUAUCUUAUAUGAAAUGUUACAUGUAUAGAAACGCCCCAGUAUUUAUAGGCUCCUCAAUUAACUUCCAAAUAUUUUCUAUUCCACUAAACAUUAUUAUUUCAUGUGAACGUUUGAAAUGAACCAGUAUUUAUGGGCUCCUCAAUUAGCAUCCAAAUGUUUCCUAUUCUGCUAAACAUUAUUAUUUAUGGCCCCACUAAAGAAAUAUGUUCUAUACAGUUGAAGAAGUGGUAGGA